rnacentral:rRNA from 1 species
CCGCUCCGAUAUAGAGAGUUUGGUUGUAGCUGGCUCCUAAUUAACUUGGGGGCAUGUGCACACCUUUCUCUUUCAUCCCAUACACACCUGUGCACCUGUGAGACAGAUGUUUUGUGGGGGGGAAGGAACUUUAUUGGACCUUCUACUCCCCCUUGACUUCUGUCUACUUAAUUCAUAUAAACUCAAUUUAUUUUAAAACGGAUGUAAUGGAUGUAACACAUCUAAUACUAAGUUUCAACAACGGAUCUCUUGGCUCUCGCAUCGAUGAAGAACGCAGCGAAAUGCGAUAAGUAAUGUGAAUUGCAGAAUUCAGUGAAUCAUCGAAUCUUUGAACGCACCUUGCGCUCCUUGGUAUUCCUUGGAGCAUGCCUGUUUGAGUAUCAUGAAAUCUUCAAAGUCAAACCUUUUGUUAAUUCAAUUGGUUCUGCUUUGGUAUUGGAGGAUUAUUGCAGCUUCACACCUGCUCCUCUUUGUGCAUUAGCUGGAUCUCAGUGUUAUGCUUGGUUCCACUCAGCGUGAUAAGUUAUCUAUCGCUGAGGACACCCUGUUAAAAAGGGGUGGCCAAGGUAAAUGCAGAUGAACCGCUUCUAAUAGUCCAUUGACUUGGACAAUAUCUAAUUUAUGAUCUGAUCUCAAAUCAGGUAGGACUACCCGCUGAACUUAAGCAUAUCAUUAAGGCGGAGGGAAACACUUUAUACUGGUGGGCUAGUGAGACUUUUUUCUCUUUUUUACUCCUUAAACCACACAUACUGGGCAGGGUGGAAGACACAUGUAUUUUUGUGUCCGUGACAGAGGAUCAUUGUUGAAGAAAUCACUCUCUCUUCGGAGCUGGGCCGCGAACUCCAUUGAUGACCACCAUGAUCGCUCCAUGAUUGGAGGACUAUUAUCUUAAAACGCAAGUUUUAGGCGCGGACCCUCUAUUGCAUACC